rnacentral:misc_RNA from 1 species
UCAAACUUGGUCAUUUAGAGGAAGUAAAAGUCGUAACAAGGUUUCCGUAGGUGAACCUGCGGAAGGAUCAUUAACACGUAUCCACGUAUCAACCCCUCUGUGCAACUCAGCUCGUGAGGCUGGUCUAGUUUGCUCGUUCGAUCUUAAUGAUGGGAGCUUCCUUCUCGGAGGAAGCUCGGGAUCUAUGAGCGAGUCAAGCGUUCUGACGAUCAGCCGCUAUUUUCCCAUCGUUAGCCUUUUCCUUUUUUUUAAACCCCAUGUACUUCUUAUGUACUGAACCAAUUCUUCGAGUCUCUGGAUUUUCUCCAGAAGCACGAAAGAUAUUACGAAACUAAAGAACAACUCUUAGCAACGGAUAUCUUGGUUCCCGCAUCGAUGAAGAACGCAGC